rnacentral:rRNA from 1 species
CCUACGGGUGGCUGCAGUGAGGAAUAUUGGUCAAUGGGCGCGAGCCUGAACCAGCCAAGUAGCGUGAAGGAUGACUGCCCUACGGGUUGUAAACUUCUUUUAUAAGGGAAUAAAGUGAGGCACGUGUGCCUUUUUGUAUGUACUUUAUGAAUAAGGAUCGGCUAACUCCGUGCCAGCAGCCGCGGUAAUACGGAGGAUCCGAGCGUUAUCCGGAUUUAUUGGGGUUAAAGGGAGCGUAGAUGGGUUGUUAAGUCAGUUGUGAAAGUUUGCGGCUCAACCGUAAAAUUGCAAUUGAUACUGGCAGCCCUGAGGACAGGUGAGGUAGGGGGAAUUCGGGGUUUAGCGGUUAAAUGCUUAG